rnacentral:rRNA from 1 species
AACGAACGCUGGCGGCAGGCCUAACACAUGCAAGUCGAGCGAGAACUUCGGUUCUAGCGGCGGACGGGUUAGUAACGCGUGGGAAUAUGCCCUUCACUACGGAAUAGUCCCGGGAAACUGGGUUUAAUACCGUAUACGCCCUUCGGGGGAAAGAUUUAUCGGUGAAGGAUUAGCCCGCGUUGGAUUAGGUAGUUGGUGGGGUAAUGGCCUACCAAGCCGACGAUCCAUAGCUGGUUUGAGAGGAUGAUCAGCAACACUGGGACUGAGACACGGCCCAGACUCCUACGGGAGGCAGCAGUGGGGAAUCUUAGACAAUGGGGGCAACCCUGAUCUAGCCAUGCCGCGUGAGUGAUGAAGGCCUUAGGGUUGUAAAGCUCUUUCGUCGAGUGCGCGAUCAUGACAGGACUCGAGGAAGAAGCCCCGGCUAACUCCGUGCCAGCCGCCGCC